UGGAAGUCGCUUUGGAUAAAAGCGUCUGCUAAAUGAAUACAUGUAAAUGUAAAUUUAUCAUUAGAUAUCAAUAAUUCCUCCAUCAAAGAGCAGGAUCAAACUGAAGCCCAGUCCUUGGAGGUCAAGAAACUGUUUGAGGUGUACAAUAAAAUGAUGUUCCUGUUGUCGAAGCAGUUCACCCAAUGGGACGAGAGCCUGAGGAAAGUGGAGGAGGCCAAAGGCAUCCGGCAAGUGGAGUAAUGACCAUGAUGGUUAAGAAGAUGAAGGGGAUAGCAUGACGCUGUCAUUUAGGUGUCCUACAUCUGGCUUGUUUGGUAAAAGGUGAUACCUAGCCUCAGAUCUGAGAUCAGAAUACUCUGCACCUUAUCCUAAGAUUCACCUUUUGAGGUAUGAGUGGCUAAAUUGAUUUGACAUCUGUGGUGAGGGUCAUCAUGCUCUUGUUCAUUGUGGUUUGUUUUACCCUAUGAGACAUCAUAUUUAUUCACUGUUAAAUGCACUUGGAUAGUUUGUCUUUGCUUUGAGAUGAGGAUUAGACUAAUAACCAAUCACACUAGCCUUCCCUCAAAGUUCUGGUUUAAAAUGUGUUUUAUAAAUGCAUGUCUGCAAAAUGUAAAAUCACUGCAAUAAAGAAA